rnacentral:rRNA from 1 species
GAUGAACGCUGGCGGUAUGCUUAACACAUGCAAGUCGAACGGACUCUUCGGAGUUAGUGGCGGACGGGUGAGUAACGCGUGAGAAUCUGGCUUUGGGUUCGGGACAACCACUGGAAACGGUGGCUAAUACCGGAUGUGCCGAGAGGUAAAAGAGAAAUUGCCUGAAGAUGAGCUCGCGUCUGAUUAGCUAGUUGGUGAGGUAAAGGCUCACCAAGGCAGCGAUCAGUAGCUGGUCUGAGAGGAUGACCAGCCACACUGGGACUGAGACACGGCCCAGACUCCUACGGGAGGAAGCAGGGGGGAAUGUUCCGCAAUGGGCGAAAGCCUGACGGAGCAAUACCGCGUGAGGGAAGAAGGCUCUUGGGUUGUAAACCUCUUUUCUUAGGGAAGAACAAAAUGACGGUACCUAAGGAAUCAGCAUCGGCUAACUCCGUG